rnacentral:rRNA from 1 species
AACGAACGCUGGCGGCAUGCCUAACACAUGCAAGUCGAACGAGACCUUCGGGUCUAGUGGCGCACGGGUGCGUAACGCGUGGGAAUCUACCCUUGGGUUCGGAAUAACAGUUAGAAAUGACUGCUAAUACCGGAUGAUGACGUAAGUCCAAAGAUUUAUCGCCCAAGGAUGAGCCCGCGUAAGAUUAGCUUGUUGGUGGGGUAAUGGCCUACCAAGGCGACGAUCUUUAGCUGGUCUGAGAGGAUGAUCAGCCACACUGGGACUGAGACACGGCCCAGACUCCUACGGGAGGCAGCAGUGGGGAAUAUUGCGCAAUGGGCGAAAGCCUGACGCAGCCAUGCCGCGUGUGCGAUGAAGGCCUUAGGGUUGUAAAGCACUUUUGUCGGGGAAGAUAAUGACGGUACCCGAAGAAUAAGUCCCGGCUAAUUCCGUGCCAGCAGCCGCCGUAA